rnacentral:tRNA from 1 species
GCCUGGCUGGCUCAGUUGGUAGAGUACCUGACUCUCGAUCUUGGGGUCAUGAGUUCAUGCCCCAUGUUGGGUG